AUGAGUGAGGAGAGAUCUGAACUAACCACAUUAAAAAUGAUUCUCACAGAUCAAAUGAAGAAUAGAGGACUGGGAGCGUUUAAGAUCGAGCAUGUGUCUCAAACCCCAGCAAGACUCCUCGAGAUGAUGACUGGACAAACAGACGGAGACAGACGGAGACAGACGGAGAGCGCCGGACUCAGCUGGAGGGAGAUAAGGAUGUUCUCUGUUAUCGGUUCAGUUCCUCAUGAAAAGCCUCUGAUGGCUGACGGGAGCAGAACAGAAACGCUCAAACGGAUUUAAACCUGCAGAACGACACACCGGACACCUGCUCAAAGAGACUUUAAUCCGUUUCAUCAAGUGGACAAUCAAACCAAUCCUGUGCUUCAGAGCACCUCUUCAGACACCAGAGAAACUUAUACACAGAUACACAGACAGCAGGAGGAUGUGUCAACUCCUUAAAUAUGAUCUAACCCUGACAGAUUCAUCGUUAAGUGAGAGGCUAAUGAAGGUCAGAGGUCAGCUGCCUGCCAUUCCUGCCCUAGCACGAUGGAUCAAGUAUGAUGAUUAAUCUGUGUAAACCAACCCUUUCUGCAGUUAGCUGGAGGACAGGAGAAUUAAUAGUCUCCGCAUCUUGAAUAUAAAGUGAUUUCUGAAGCUGUGGGCCACAUCUGGACUCUGCAUUCAGAUAAAACGCCAUCAUUACGUUUCUCUGAAGCCUCACAGCACAGGUGAGAAUCUCUCAAUAUUCAGCUCAGUCUCUCUGAACAUAAACGUGAUUCACAGCCACAGUCCUCACAGGACGAUCAAAACAAGUCCAGCAGAACAUCCAGAGAGCUGAUUGCGUUUGGAAAUGGCUUCAACAAAAGUCUCUCUUUGGAAUCAGAUGGGCUCUUAGUUUGGACUCACUCCCAGUUCAGAAUAUAAACAGAGUUUUUCACAUUUAUUCACAAUCACAAGAGAAAAUGAGGCCUGCUUUGAAAGCCAAGGUUUUAAAGGACUCCUAUCAUGGAGAACAGGUUCUGAAAUACUCUGCAAUCAUGUAGAUGUCUUGUGGUGUUUGAUUGGGAAUCACGUACCUUCUUCUUCUGUCGAUUUCACUGAGUAAUAAAAGACAGUUUUACAUGCAACCUUAACCCUUUUAAUGCAUUCGGCUCUGUUUUGACCCAAAAGAGUGCACCAUCAAAAUGCACAUCAUUUAUUUAUUAGUAAAAUGAUCUUUCUGUGAGGUUUUAUUAGUGUCAGAAACUUUUCCUCAUAACCUCUCACACUUUUGAGACUGUAUUUUGUUGAUGAACAUUAAUAUGUUUCCUAUUGAUGAACCAUUUCUGCAGGAAAACUGUUUCAUUUAUGCUCUUUAUUAGAAAUAAAUAUGUAGGUUUCAUAAAUUUAGACCAUUUGUUAUUUAUUUAAACUCCAUUCACUCUAAUAGAACCAAAACUAUUUGUGUGUGUGUAUGUAUUUCUGAUUUCUGAAUGAUACAGCAUAAUCAACAAUAUUGACAAAAAAUAUUUUGCAUUAUAUUUUUUCUGGUGUGGUUUAUUUGUAACUUGCACUUUUAAAUAAUUUCUCAAGGUUUAGUUAAUAAAAAUGGGGUAAAUGCAGUAAUAUUUCAUUAAGGAGAAAUUGCUGAUCAGAUUAACUCAAUAUUAAAAUGAUGACUGUUUAAUAGAAUAACGAUUCAUUGUAUCCAAACGGACGGAGAAUGUGAAAUCAGUACAGUGAUUCUGAGUGCAUUCUAAGGGUUAAUUCUGCUUGUGUGAAAUCACUAGUCAAACAGGAGUUAACUAGCAGAAGCUGGUCAAACUGAGCUGUUACCUUCAUGUUUUGGCCAAAGAUGAAUCUUCAUCGCACACUUUCAUCCACCCAAUGAGUAAAUUGAUAAAAGUUUAUGAUCAUAAGCCAUUAUCUCCAUGCAUUCUCAUUCAGACAGCAUCACAUCUGCAGGAUGAUGUUUCCGUGAUCGUAAGCACAUCCUCACCUACAAGCAUCAAUAAAUAAUCGCUUUAUUAGUCAAAAUCAUGCAGGUCUUUGAGUUCCCUUUACAGAUCACACACAGUUAUAUGCGCACAACUCUACACAGUACACUGAAGUCUGACAGGUUAUUUCCCAUGAGGAUUUUUUUGUUAUCAAAAUUCUUUACAUGAGUAAAAUUUCUCUCACAUAGUUGCGGCUGGUAUUUUUUUGUUUUCUUUUUUUAGCCCAUUUGUUGUUAUUGCAAUGAUUCACAUUGUUUCGUAUAGAACAAAUAAGAAAAGCAUCUGGUCUUCAUCAUGGCUAUGACGGAAAGUGCAGUGUUUUCCUGAAGGAUGGAGAUGUCAGGUGAUGCACCGGCGGUCUUUGCGUGACGUGCUCGUGUUUCUGCAGUUAUUAAGCGUGAGUUCAGCCCUCCGUCGCUGUAGGGUGUAGGGCGUAGGGUGGACUCCCUGAAUGGGUAUUGCUUCUGCGUCAAACUAAAUCUAGUGCGAAUGUGUUUUUCUCUAGUAGGGGAUGUAUUCUCAGCGAAGGUGAUAUACUGCGACAGGACAGAGACAGCUUAAAUGUUCUUAAACCUAGAAAACUGCACGUGUGAUAUAGAUCAGCUUGCGUUUUUACGUUUCAAAUGUUUUCCUUAAACUUGCAUAAUAAACAUGCAAUGAAAGAUUUUUUUGAUUAUAUAAAGAGCAACUCCGCUGUUGCAUGGGUGCAUUACCAAAAGAACGUAAAACAAAGCAGGAAACGGAUCGGCAGAGGAGAAUCGUCGAGUCCUGAGGGGUUCCAGCGCUCGCUCCGGCUCAUCUUCAGCUUGCAUAAGGCACCGGAUCCCGUCUAAAGAAGCGUCCUGCUCCCCUCCUCUUCAGUCAGAGUUCAGAGAUGAAAUGAAGAAGCGUCGGAUGGCAGGAAGUGUGGCUCUUCAGCUGCGGCUAGAAAUGUUGUACGUUCACUGUGUCGAAAGCAUUCCAGCUGAUAGAAUCACCACUUUAAGAGCCAUCAGUGUGUGUGUGUGUGUGUGUGUGUGUGUGUGUGUGUGUUUUAAUUGAGCUGGUCCUCGUAUUGUUUCCGGAAACAGUCUCCAGCAGGGAAGAAUUCCCAGCAUCGUUCCUGGUACAUUUUCCAAACGUACGACUCCUGAAAGACAAACAGGCUUGUGUUGAACAGGAGAUGACCAACACAUGAGAAGUAAUGAGAGAGGAUGAUGGGAAAUACCUGGCCUGUGUGCUCCGUUUCAUCCUUGUUGAUGAGAUACAUGAAGAAAAAUCUGCAAACACACACACACACACACACACACACACACUCAUCACUCAUGCAAGCCUACAGUAAUUAAAUAUAUUAAAAUAACACAAUUAUCCUUUAUACAUUAUAAGAAUGAUUUCUGUCAGCAGUGCUCAUGUUUUCUGUCGACUGAAGGCUGGUCUGACGCUGUGUUGAUCGUGUGUCUCAUUAGUUUGUUAGUCUUUGACUCUCUGCAGGUAGAUCACCUGAGGACAGACUCAUUAAAGCUGCAUGUGUGGAUGCAGGACUCACAGAUAGUUGGCCAGGUUGUGUUCCUGCAGCGUGUGUGUCUCGAAGCCGUGAGGAACCGUGUCGAAGUAGUCGUUUCCAAUCCCACAGAUGAAGCACUUCGUCUGCAGGAGAGAAACAUGUGUGUGCUGAAUCAAACACACACACACACACACACACACACACACAGACUUCACAUCAAGGGUUCAGCGUGUGUCUCACCUCCAUGUCUUCUUUCACCUGCUCUUGCUGGUCUCUCAGCUCUCCGAACGCAUCGAUGAUCAGACCUGAAACACACACACACAGGGGUGAGAUACAG
ensembl:lncRNA